ACCCAUGAUAUUGUAUAUAACCUUGACACCAUCAACUUUUAACAGAUACAAUCUAAAUUCAUUACUACAAACAUGUCAGAUAAAAUAUUCGUAUUUUUUUAUGUUCUAAUUAGUAUAAAUCUAGUAUUAAGUCUAACAUGUGUCCCUUGGGCUUGUGACAAUGUUAAAUGCCUUGAGGUGAAGUGCAGAGACGGAGAAUUACGUGGAAAAGGAGGCAAUUGUCUCUGUUGUGACAUAUGUAGGCGAAUCAUUGGCGAAGGGGAGGACUGCAGUCCUGAAAGUUUGAUUGGUGGCGCGAUUUCUCAGACUGUAACCUGCGGAGAAGGAUUGUACUGCAAACAAAAUAAAUGUGCCAAAAUA